rnacentral:tRNA from 1 species
CGGGGUAUGGCGUAGUUUGGUUAUCGCGCCUGGUUUGGGACCAGGAGAUCGUAGGUUCAAAUCCUGCUACCCCGAUAU